rnacentral:lncRNA from 1 species
GAAGGCUGAUUCAAAGGUGGAACCAAGAUAUACAGAUCAUACCCUCAAAAAAUCAUUCUCACGCAGCAAGACUGGACUGGCAGCAUGUGACCCGCUGGAUUUCAGAACUGCUAUGGAUCAGUAACUUGCAUGUGCCUCCUAGUUCUCCUUCCCUGCUUUGAAUGUGAGUGUGCACAGCCAUUCUCUCAACCCUGCACAUCACUAUCUAUUGAGCAGUGAACAUGGGUGGGGCAGUAACUGAUCUCUUUAGUUCACAGGCCUUCAGAUUAAGAAAAACCAUUUUCAAGGAACUGCCCUCUGGGAAACCCCAUCCAUGUGUGGAUCUGAUUUCAAUGACAAAAUCCUGACCUUUACACAAAUGCUACAGUGGGAAAAGUCUUUGGGGGCCUUGGGACGGAAUGAGAGUAUUUUUCAUUUGGGAAGAAUAUAAUUAGUUUGUUACUAGAGGGCAAACUGUGGUUGAUUAAAGAUGUCUGAAAUUCCUUUGCUACUCCUCCCUUUCAGAAUUUGGACUAAGAGAGUGGCAGCUCUAACAAUAUUUAAAGAUAAGGCUCACCACACCGAUCAGAAAUCUUUCCUUACACAGCACCCCGAAAAGAAAAAUUGUUAAAAUUUGAAGCUUCCUGUGAGUUUGAUGUAUGAAACUGUAAAUAAGUGCUAGGUAGGAGAAAACAACUGGGAAUAACGGAGAAGAAAAUAAUCAAUGUGCCCCUGACCUGGAUGCAGAGGCAGUACUAGCCUGUCAGCCAGAAAGAUCUUAUACUCUUGCUACGCAGCAAUUUGGGCAAGGCUGAAAGCAAUUAGUUCUCCCAGACCGAGGUGUCUAAUUACGGCUAUCUCUUACUUAGCAGGGUGAAAAACUUUAGCCUUACUGCAACAAUGUGAGGUGUUUUUCAUUUCACAAGAUAAGUCAUGGGUUUAUUGGCAUUACUGAUGGCUUGGAAUUCACCCUGAAUAUAGCUUACUGGGACCCAAUUUCAACUUAUCUACAACUUUUCAAGAACAUUUUCAAGGUAAUGGGAUACACUGUCACUUGUGCAUGGCGACCUAAAAUGUUGGUUAGCUAACUGCAUCUUCUCUUCUCUGGAGAGAUGUGAUGCAGGUGGGGAAGUGUGGAAAUGAGCAGUCACUCCACCCUGCUGAGUGAGAGGGGCCUCAUGAUGUAUCAUUGUGAGCCUUCCCUCAGCUUCUAGGAAAAACGUGGCCGGGCCAUACCUGUGGAGGUCUCCCUUGACAGAAGGAAGUCUAGAGUGCACCAUUUUGAAGUGUUCUAAACCUUUCUAUCUUCUCUACUAGAUUGAAUAACUUGAGGGAAAUAUAUUUCUCUUUCUUCUUUGGGCCUCCAGAGUAUAGCACAGUGCAUGCCAUGUGGCUGGUAUUUGAUAAAAGUCAAUUGAAAUGAAAACAGUCUCAUCCACGCGUGUUCCAAACUAGCUCCUCCCUAUCUGCUCACACACACCUGCUUUGGGCAUGAUAGGAAGUCAAAGUCUGUAAACUCUGACCUAUGGGGCCCCACAGAAUCUGUAAACCCUCCCCAGAACCUCUCUGAUACACCCCAUCCUCUUGUUCACAAUGUGCCAGUGGCACUGUCCUUGUGCAAACAUGCCAGGCCUGAUCCUCCCACAGCACGUCUAUCAUUGCUAUUCCCUCUGCCUGAAACACUCUUCCCUCAGAAACCCAUAAGGUUGGCUUUCCCAUUUCCUUCACAUCUGCACUCAAAACUCACUUUCUCAUGGAUGCCUUCCCUGUCCACCAGAUCUAAAUUUCACCCCCAAAGUAUUUUAUAUCCCCUUCCCUUUUUUUUUCUUCAUAGCACUUACAAUGAUCUUAUAUCCUAUAUAUUUACCUACUCAUAUUGUUUACCAACUGUCUCUGUACUAAAAUAUAAGCUCAACGAACCCACAAACUUUUGUCUGUUUCAUUCACUCCCCAGCACCUGGAAAGGUAUCUAAUAUGUGAUAGCUUUUUGAUAUAUAUUUAAUGAAUAAGUAAAUGAAUGAACAAAUUGGUAGCAGGCUAAUUUCCAAUCCAUGGGGGUAUUUCUCAAUGGUACUUUUUGGUAUAAGUGGAUACAGAGAGGAAGAAAGAUUGAAUGAAAGAUUUAUUAAUAGAGGUUCCCCCCCCACCCCCCAAGAUCUUGAUCUCACAUUCUGCCUGUUAAAGCAUCUGCAUUCUUGGGCUGCCUGGGUGGCUCAGUCGGUUGAGCAUCUGACUCUUGAUUUUUGGCUUAGGUCAUGAUCUCAGGGUCAUGAGAUCAAGCCCCAAAACUUAAGAUCUUAAGAGCUCUCAUAGCUUAAGAUUCACUCUCUCUCUCAAAAAAAAAAAAAAAAAAAAAAAAAA